CCUACGGGUGGCAGCAGUGGGGAAUAUUGCACAAUGGGGGAAACCCUGAUGCAGCGACGCCGCGUGAGUGAAGAAGGACUUCGGUUUGUAAAGCUCUAUCAGCAGGGAAGAAAAUGACGGUACCUGAGUAGGAAGCCCCGGCUAACUACGUGCCAGCAGCCGCGGUAAUACGUAGGGGGCAAGCGUUAUCCGGAUUUACUGGGCGUAAAGGGAGCGUAGACGGCCGUUUAAGUAUGGAGUGAAAUGCGGGGGCUCAACCCCCGUACUGCAUUUGAAACUGUACGGCUGGAGUGCAGGAGAGGUAAGUGGAAUUCCUAGUGUAGCGGUGAAAUGCGUAGAGAUUAGGAAGAACACCAGUGGCGAAGGCGAUUUACUGGACUGUAACUGACGUUGAGGCUCGAAAGCGUGGGGAGCAAACAGGAUUAGAUACCCGAGUAGUC
rnacentral:rRNA from 1 species